rnacentral:rRNA from 1 species
ACCUCCCCAAUAGCUAGCCCACCUAUGAAAACCAACAACCAACAUUAAUUCCCACGCAAUCACGCAGUCAAAUUAAAUAAACCAUUUUACCACCUCAGUAAGGGAGACAGAAAAGGAU